rnacentral:rRNA from 1 species
UCUGGAAACUNUCUGACUUGAGUGCAGAAGGGGAGAGUGGAAUUCCAUGUGUAGCGGUGAAAUGCGUAGAUAUAUGGAGGAACACCAGUGGCGAAAGCGGCUCUCUGGUCUGUCACUGACGCUGAGGCUCGAAAGCGUGGGUAGCGAACAGGAUUAGAUACCCUGGUAGUCCACGCCGUAAACGAUGAGUGCUAGGUGUUAGGCCCUUUCCGGGGCUUAGUGCCGGAGCUAACGCAAUAAGCACUCCGCCUGGGGAGUACGACCGCAAGGUUGAAACUCAAAGGAAUUGACGGGGGCCCGCACAAGCGGUGGAGCAUGUGGUUUAAUUCGAAGCAACGCGAAGAACCUUACCAGGUCUUGACAUCCCGAUGCUAUUCUUAGAGAUAGGAAGUUACUUCGGUACAUCGGAGACAGGCGGUGCAUGGUUGUCGUCAGCUCGUGUCGUGAGAUGUUGGGUUAAGUCCCGCAACGAGCGCAACCCUUAUUGUUAGUUGCCAUCAUUAAGUUGGGCACUCUAGCGAGACUGCCGGUAAUAAACCGGAGGAAGGUGGGGAUGACGUCAAAUCAUCAUGCCCCUUAUGACCUGGGCUACACACGUGCUACAAUGGUCGGUACAACGAGUUGCGAGCCGGUGACGGCAAGCUAAUCUCUGAAAGCCGAUCUCAGUUCGGAUUGGAGGCUGCAACUCGCCUCCAUGAAGUCGGAAUCGCUAGUAAUCGCGGAUCAGCACGCCGCGGUGAAUACGUUCCCGGGCCUUGUACACACCGCCCGUCACACCACGAGAGUUUGUAACACCCGAAGUCGGUGAGGUANCCUUUUAGGG